UACGAAGGGGGCUAGCGUUGCUCGGAAUGACUGGGCGUAAAGGGCGCGUAGGCGGUUUGUACAGUCAGGUGUGAAAUUCCCGGGCUCAACCUGGGGGCUGCACUUGAUACGUAUGGACUGGAGUGGGGAAGAGGGUCGUGGAAUUCCCGAGUGUAGAGGUGAAAUUCGUAGAUAUUGGGAAGAACACCGGUGGCGAAGGCGGCGACCUGGUCCUUGACUGACGCUGAGGCGCGAAAGCGUGGGGAGCAAACAGG
rnacentral:rRNA from 1 species